rnacentral:rRNA from 1 species
AAAGCUGGCYUUCGGGUCCGCGUUGUAAUUUGUAGAGGAUGCUUUUGGUUAGGUGCMUUACGAGUUCCCUGGAACGGGACGCCUUAGAGGGUGAGAGCCCCGUACGUUUGGUUACCGAGCCUCUGUAAAGCUCCUUCGACGAGUCGAGUAGUUUGGGAAUGCUGCUCUAAAUGGGAGGUAAAUUUCUUCUAAAGCUAAAUACCGGCCAGAGACCGAUAGCGCACAAGUAGAGUGAUCGAAAGAUGAAAAGCACUUUGAAAAGAGGGUUAAAUAGCACGUGAAAUUGUUGAAAGGGAAGCGUUUAUGACCAGACUUUUUCCUAGCGGAUCAUCCGGCGUUCUCGCCGGUGCACUUCGCUAGGUUUAGGCCAGCAUCGGUUUUCGCAGGGGGAUAAAAGCAGUGGUAAUGUGGCUCCCUCCGGGGAGUGUUAUAGACCGCUGUAUAAUAC